UCAAGAAAAGGGGAAAAUAAAUUGAAAAAAAAUUAAUAAUAUGCUUAUGAGGUAAAGAAUCCUGUCUUCCUGCUCCUUCCCCGUCAUCUCCUGUCAAUACCUCCAAUCAGCAGAACCAACCAGAAGUCUUUCCCCGCCGAUUAGCUGUCAUCUUAGGAAGCCUGGAAUCCAGCACCUAGCAGGAAUCUUGUGAUGGGUGGAUGUCACCUCAGGGAGUCCUUUCUGCUUUGCCGUGAGAACAUGUCUGAACAGAGUUGAGAGCAAUGGAGCAGAGCUGAAUCAGCUGGGUUGGCCCAGCCAAAGCCAUCUUGGAUCAGCUAAUUCAUGGCUAACUGACCGGCAGACCUGUCAGUGAGCCCAGCUAAGACCAGGAGAAUGCGCAACUUAGUCCAGCCUAAAUCAUCCACCUGAAGGCUGAAAAGAAUUCAUUUUUAAGCCACCGAGUGUUAGGAAAAAUUGUUUACUCAGAUUAUUGUGGCAAUAUAUAACUGACAUCGAGUAGAAUAUGAGAUGAAUGGUCCCCAAAAGCCUAUGUGGAAUCUAACAUAUGUUCCUACUCAAAUGCUCCUACUUUAGCUAGACUCUGCCUAUCACAUCAGGUCAUUGCUUUCCUCGAUUUAAGCCAAGCAUUAUUCUAUCUCAAAAUUGAAUUUAUAUUUCUGAAUAUAGCAUAUUAUCUCAGUAUUGGACAUGAGCUUUUUGCAGGACAAAUCUGUUUCUAUGUUACCAGCAGAAUCCAUGAGCCAGGGACUCAGAAAGGUACAGUCUGUGGCCCAUAGUAUUUCAGACAAAGAGCAAACUAGAAUCAGCUAACUCAGAGUGGCCCCAAAGUAACAAAACACAUGUGGGAUGCUCAUCUCUACUUGGGCUCACUUCUGCUACAGCCAUUAGAAUUUAGUCCUUUAGGUCUUUCUUUUGGACCCCCAUACUUUUGUUUUCUAGAGAAUGUGGACCCUUGACAUUUGCAUUUUAACUCAUAGGUUGAGUUUACCCUUCCUGACUUUAUCAAAACAAGAGAAUAAGUUCCAGAAGUUGAUUGCCUGCAUUAGCCCAAAUGGUAAUGUAAAAGGUAAAAUCCAUUUCUGGAAACUUGCGGUUCAUUUAGAGUGUUUUGCACUACAAUGCACUCUCUUUGACCUCUUUCCUCACACAUUCCAUUGGGUUGUGCAGAAUCUGCAUGGCUGGAAUGAAUACAAGUUGAAGGGGAAGUUAAAUCCAUCUAAACUUUAGAAUGUAGGGGAGAUUUAACAUCCUAUGUCCUUUGUAACGUGGUGGUGCAUUCAUGGUUCAUGUAGUCAGCAAACUAAAGGUCGGUCUUUAGUUAGUAUUCAGCAUAAAGUGUGUCGUAACAUUGACAGGCUAUAUUUAUACAGUGGUGCUGAAAGAUUAAAAUAAAUACAUAUCAAUGUUGAUCCUAACAAACGUAUGCAGUGCAGAUGAUGGAGUUAACAUCAGUUUUUGAGUUUGUAAUUAUUUACCCAUAUGCUGCAAAUGGCAGUUUUUCCAAAAUAUAAUAAUUUGGCACUUCAUACUGUGGAAUUUUUUUUGGAAGACUAGAAAAUAAUGCUUCAUAUUGGUAGACCUUGACUUCUAGUCUACAUUAGUGAAGGGAAAACAGGGGGCUGGCUUUCAGUCAACUAUCCAAUCAGUUUUAUUGGAAUUCCAUCUUAACCAAUAUUUCUGG